rnacentral:rRNA from 1 species
GUGGGGAAUAUUGGGCAAUGGGCGCAAGCCUGACCCAGCCAUGCCGCGUGAGUGAUGAAGGCCUUCGGGUCGUAAAGCUCUGUGGGGGGGGACGAAUCAGCACGGCGUUAAUACCGCCGGGCCUUGACGGUACCCCUUUAGCAAGCACCGGCUAACUCUGUGCCAGCAGCCGCGGUAAUACAGAGGGUGCAAACGUUGCUCGGAAUCAUUGGGCGUAAAGCGCACGUAGGCGGCCCAGUAAGUCGGAUGUGAAAGCCCUCGGCUCAACCGAGGAAGUGCAUUCGAAACUGCUGAGCUUGAAUAUGGAAGAGGGUCGCGGAAUUCCCGGUGUAGAGGUGAAAUUCGUAGAUAUCGGGAGGAACACCAGUGGCGAAGGCGGCGACCUGGGCCAAUAUUGACGCUGAGGUGCGAAAGCGUGGGGAGCAAACAGGAUUAGAAACCCCGGUAGUCC